CCUACGGGUGGCCGCAGUGAGGAAUAUUGGUCAAUGGACGAGAGUCUGAACCAGCCAAGCAGCGUGAAGGAUGACUGCCCUAUGGGUUGUAAACUUCUUUUAUAUGGGAAUAAAACGUUGCACGUGUGGGAUUUUGUAUGUACCCUAUGAAUAAGGAUCGGCUAACUCCGUGCCAGCAGCCGCGGUAAUACGGAGGAUCCGCGCGUUAUCCGGAUUUAUUGGGUUUAAAGGGAGCGUAGGUGGAUUGUUAAGUCAGUUGUGAAAGUUUGGGGCUCAACCGUAGAAUUGCAGUUGAAACUGGCAGUCUUGAGUAGAGUAGAGGUGGGCGGAAUGCGCGGUGUAGCGGUGAAAUGCUUAGAUAUCGCGAAGAACUCCGAUUGCGAAGGCAGCUCACUGGAGUGAAACUGACACUGAGGCUCGAAAGUGUGGGUAUCAAACAGGAUUAGAUACCCUGGUAGUC
rnacentral:rRNA from 1 species